ACUAAUGUACAACCAAAUAAUGCUCAACCCAAGAAUGUACAGCCCAAUAAUUGGCGUCCAUGGUGGACGCGUAUUAUUGGGCUGUACAUUCCUGGGUUGAGCAUUCUCGGUCCGCGCAAGAUUGGUCCGGGGCGAUAAUACGAAGCCACUCUUUUCACAGGGCAAUAAUGUACGACCCCAUAAUUCGCGUCCACUAAUUUGAGUCCCUUGGCUUUCAAUUAUUGGGCUGCGCAUUAUUGGUCCAGGUCGAGAAAGCCCGACCCAAUAAUGUACGACCCAAUAAUUGGAAGCCAAAAACCAGAGACAUUCUUUUUUUUAAGGGAGCUGUCAAAAUUAGUAGGGACGUUCUGACAUUAGCUCUUGACAAUUUAAAAAUAAUCGGUUUUUUCUAGUGCCAUCUUUCAGUGACAUUGACAGUAUUGACACUUGUUGGUUUACAAAUACAAUAAAUGAAUUCUAAUAAAAGAAACAGUAGACUCAGUAGAGGUACGAGGUACUGAAAAAAUAUUAAUUAAUGGAGAAGCCGAAGUUGGAGGAAAACAAGAAGAUUCGAGGAGAAUGGUGUGGCACUUAAUGCCGCCGGGACAGUAACCUAGCUGCAACUCCAACUCUAGGGAAUUGGGCUGAAUGAACGCAACACGUGAUCGACAGCCCACCUGCUUCCUGCCGAGCGUCCCUACACUACCUCUACAUGGAUGCCUCGCUUAUUCUGCUCUACAAAACUUCUGAGCUGAUACAAGCAGCCAGAAUGAGUCUCUGCUGAGUCGCCGGCGCCGGACGUGCGUCGCGCGCCUCGGGCGUCUGACGUCUUCGUGUCAGUCGCCAAUUGCAGGAGAAGAUACGAAUAGUUAGGUAUAAAAGCUACUUUAGUCAACCUCGCCUCAGUACUGUUUGUAUUGACUGAAAUACAAGUAGCAUAUAUGAGACGUUCGGACGUAUCCGUGAAAAUACGAAGUACGAGUAAAGGAAAUUGCACUACAUUUUUAGAACCUAUUCACCUGUCAGUAAAAUAUUGAAAAGGAAUGUUCAUGAGUUUUAUAAUUUUCUUUCCUCCAACAGCUUCACAUGGAGCAAAUGUAAACCUUUUAUGUUAAUAAUAUCAGUAAUGUCAAGGUACAACGCUCUUUAGAUCAUAUUGCCAUUCCUUUUACUCGAGCGGCCUGUGGGUUAACUAUACGAAGCGAGCCUACAAUGCAUUAAAAGUGCAGUAUAACAAUGCAUUCACAAUGCUGUUGGGCUUACCUCGUAGAUGUAGUGCAUCUGGCAUCUUUUGCGAAGCUAGAAGUUUUCUGGCAAUCAUGCGCAAGAAAAUAGUAUCUCUGCUAGGUCGAGUUAGAAGCAGUCCCAAACAUACAUGUUCGAAAAGUAGAACUCCCUUAGAUCGUGUUUCAAUUUAUCGCCUCUCGUUGGCAAUUAAGGUGGUUCGCUUUCCAUACAAAAAACAAUUAAGUACCUAAUAGUGUGUAAUUACUUAAUAUAACGCAAUUGUUUUUUGUAUGGAAAGCGAACCACCUUAACUAUUCGCACAACGUUUUGUAGUUGCAGUAAGUACUUACAUAUGGCCAGUAAAAUUUUCGAAAUAGGUAUGUAUUUACGUACAGUGCUAAUUGCCGCACAUAGAAUAAUUAAAGUUUGAUCAAUCGGAAUAUGUUCAUAAGUCACUUAUUACAUUUCGAUUUAUAAGUCUGUAUUUUCCAGCUUUAGAUGUGCAUGACUGCAUAUGCACAUCUAAAGCUGAAAAAUGCUUUCAUGAAUACGUUUAUAAUUAUGGCUAAAUUAUGUUAAUAGGGACAAAUGUAUCAUUUUCAACCAAAGGGGUACUUAUUAUCUGUUGUCAAUAAGGCGCUAAGUAUUUCCAUAAAGCU